GGCGGCUCCACCAAAUCCAAGGAUGGGGCCAUGGAUGAUUCUUUUGAAUAAAAUUGCUGAAUCUCAUAAUCUCAUUCCCGAAUUUGAAAUCACCUUUGAAGCUACUCAUCAUGGACCCGUGACAACUAAGCCAACAAUGUUUAUCGAGAUAGGUAGCACUGAGGAGUACUGGAAGAGGCCGGAUGCUGCUCAAGUUGUUGCUCUGUUAGUCUGGGAAGGACUUGGUCUUGGAGGAGGUCCUCCUGUUGGAAACUGGAGCAGUACGUCUGCAAAUAACAAAGUCCUUCUAGGGAUUGGUGGAGGACAUUAUGUGCCACGACAUACAGAUGUGAUAAAGAAGGACGGUUGUUGGGUGGGCCAACUCCUCUCUGGUUACUCCUUACCAAUGGAAGAUCCUGGUCCAUCGAAAGGUAAAGUAAAUGCACAUGAUAUUGCCGGAACUUGGAAACACUCAAUUAGAGCAGCAUAUGAUGCUACUAAAGCAGGUUUUCCUGGUGGAGAAAUUCUGGCACAUCUUGAUCAGAAGAGUUUCAAGAGCUGGCAAAAGAAUGCGAUUAUUGAAUUCCUAGGUGCACAGAACAUUAAAAUUGGCAAGCCAG
rnacentral:misc_RNA from 1 species